GUGAAUCCCAAUCAUCAAAUGUUGCAGUCAUGUGAAUUAUCACAAGGGAAAUGCCAAUUUGGAAUAAAUGAAUGAUAUAGUAGAAUUUCCUAUCUUUGGUUCUCUUACUGGACUUUAUUCUGCACCAUCCAUGUAAUGAUUAUAAACCUUGGUCUUAAAUUUUAUAAGGAUUCAAGAUGUAUUCUUUCUUAUUGUAGUGAUUGUGACACUUCUCCGACCAAUUGCAAUUAACGGAAUUUUGCAUUUCAUGUAGCAUAAAAAACUGAAUCUUUCUCUCUUUUCUUUUCCCCUUUAACACCAUAUUCAUUCUGCUUUGAACCUUAAAAAAGACGGUUGCAGUGUGCGAAACUAUGGCUUAACCAUUAAUCCAGUCAUUAGUUGAUUAUGCUUUUUUUCCGUCCUAUCUUUUUGAUGAAGGACCAAAUGAUGCACCACUCGGGUAUCGGGCCUGCUCCUUUCGAGGCUUUUGUGAGAGUUCCAAAGUACAAGGUAUCGGCCCUCGUACUCAAAUUUAUUGUACAAGUUUUCUGUGCAGUGAGCGGGUGCUUGGUAAUCAAGAGGAUCUGGCCAAGGAAACUGUCGCUGAACUGCAGCCAGAGAAUGGUGAGGAAUGGUGAACAUAUGUGUGUUUGGGAUCCUCUGAUCCUCAUCCCAAUUCGCAUAUUGGGAUGUGUUACUGAACACCUUUCUGUCUUUUGGCGUGUAUGGAAAGAAGGCGGAACAGGUUUUUUGUACUGGGGUGCCAACUGCUAUGAGAGGGCUAAUAUUCAUAGUUUCUCAUUCAUUCAUAAAUUAGAACAGUUAUAAAUCCUUGCUUUCCUUUUCUUUUUUUAUGACAAUGAAAUGUUUGCCUGCGAGCAGAUAAGAUUUUGGCGUUGCCUACUGCCAAGUGAUGGAUUUUGGUUAUAAAUCCUUGCUUCUUUGUUUUUUUUCUCUGGCAAUGAAAUGUUUGCCUGUAAGCAGAUCAGCUUCAGGUACUCUCCAGGCUAGGUGUUCUCAUCUUCCCGUCAGCCAGUUGAUUCUAUUAUGCUAGAGCGCACACUUGGUGGUUUGCGGGACUUUUCGAGUACUGCAGAUCUGUACUUCGAGAUAUGGAAGGGAUGAAGGGCUUGCUCUUCUGGAAAAGACAGGCAUGUAUCUAGGUCCAGAGCGUUAUACGCUAGAGCACAUGCCAAUAUAUAGAUGUCAUGCGGGGUGAGAUCUUCAACGCAUGCCGAUCAUAAAUAUUGGCAGUGCUCCAUGCAUUGAGUAUAUUGUUUUUGUAAUUAUCCAUGGAAACUUUUUGUACUGUAAAGAUGAAAUGGUUUGUCCAACUGCAUGAACUGCUUUACUGGUGGUGCUGAGGCAAAGUAAUUCUGGACGAGAAUAUAACGGUACAUUCAAAGAACCAUUGCUAGGAUUCUCCUGGCAUGCAUGACGUUAGCCUAUCAGCACCUGGCAUUACCCUUCCAAGUGGCCAGAGAAGGCAAUGCCUGCGGCAUGACGUCUGACCUUCAACGUGUAAUCCGUGUGUUUCAGAGAUUCUUUUGGGAUAUUUGAGAUGAGGCUUAAAAGAAAUUUCUGAUGCCGUGCCCGAUUAACACUUAAAAACCCCAUUUCACCUCGGUUGGAAAUUAUCAAAGUUACGCAAUCAACUCCAUGUACUGGAAUCGGAAUAGCAAGAGUGGGGCAAGCCUUUUUAUAAAGGAGAAAAGGUAUGGAGGGAGGGAUGAAACCAUCAAGGUUAAAGGUGUGCCUGCUGGAAUCGGAAAAGCAACCUCAAGAUAAUCAAACUGGCUAUCAUUACUUCGUGGACCUGUCACCCUUCUCUGCUUUUUGUUUUGUGCUUUGCUCGCUGACUUGUAGUCUUAUUCUUUAUUCCCUUUGGUCCAUCAACUUUGUUAGUAAACAGGUUUUAGAAAUGUGUAGUGUAGUGUGUGUGUUCUCAGAUUCCCCUCAGUACUGCCAAGCUUGUUAAGAGUAGCAGAUUGCUUUGAAAUUGAAUUAGUAAAGGGUGUUUUCUAAUCUA